rnacentral:miRNA from 1 species
UUGCUCUGAGCUCCGAGAAAGC